ACUAAUCAUAGUGGUAAAUAUUAGAUCAUUGGUUGCUUGAGGCAGGGGGCUACAAAAGGGCAUGAAGAAACUUUCUGGAGUUAUGAAUAUGUUCUAUAUUUUAAUUGGGGUGGUAGUUAUACAGGUAUCCACAUCUGUCAAAACUCAUCAAACUGUGCAUUUAAAAUGUGUACAUUUCAUUGUAUGUAAGUUAUACUUCAACUAAAUUGACCUUCAAAACACCUUUCAAGAUCAAGGGGAAAAAUAGAAGUAUUUUGAGAUUAACAAAAACUGAGGGACACUAACUUUAUAAAAGAAGAUGUGUCAAGAACUGUGGAAGGACACCUGGGUGGCUCAGCAGUUGGACAUCUGCCUUUGGCUCAGGGCGUGAUCCUGGAGUGCUGGGACUGAGUCUCACAUUGGGUUUCCCACAUGGAGUCUGCUUCUCCCUCUGCCUGUGUCUCUGCCACUCUCUCUAUAUGUUUUUCAUAAAUGAAUACAUUUCUCAUUUGCUAUUUUACUCCUUAUUUGUGUUUGUUAAUUUAAAAAAAUCUUUCCUGUCAUUUCAAGUGUUUGGAGAAGAAAAGAAAAUAAACAAAUGGGGUCAGUCUGCCAUUUU